rnacentral:rRNA from 1 species
UGGGCAACCUGCCCCCGGCUCUGGGAUAACUCCAAGAAAUUGGGGCUAAUACCGGAUAUGACUGCUGACCGCAUGGUCUGGUGGUGGAAAGAUUUAUCGGUCAGGGAUGGGCUCGCGGCCUAUCAGCUUGUUGGUGGGGUAACGGCCCACCAAGGCGACGACGGGUAGCCGGCCUGAGAGGGCGACCGGCCACACUGGGACUGAGACACGGCCCAGACUCCUACGGGAG